CUAAACACCCAGACACAUUUUUUAAGCUUAAUUAAUCUGUAAUUAGAGAGUGUUAUCAUGACCUAAUAAUCAAGCUUAAUAUAUUGGUCUUCAGAUUUGAGUAAAUUUUAGUCAGAAACCAAACAUCCCCUGCAUAAAAGACGCGAGCACGUCACGUCGUCAUCAAGCCGAAGCCAAGCGUGGGUACGGUACGUGCAAGCAAAACGGUGGAAGUGGAGGGCGGGUGGACGUCGUCAGUGCUGUGCUGUGCUGUGCUGGCUGCUGCUAUCGGACGGACACGGGCCUGCCAUGUCAUGGUCGGUCUCUGGCCACGUCUCCUCUCUUCUUUCCUUCCGCACCACCAGGUGACCGACUCUUACCAGAAACGCGCAGCAUGUGUACCAACUGUUAAGAACUACGUUACCACGGAUCACCAGAUUCGCUCCCUUCCCUCCCGUCAACAGUAGAGACGCAAGAAGCUGUAGAGAACCCGUCUCCCUUUCCAUAAACACGAUAGAGGAAACACACGAGACACUGGAUAUAGGGUUGGGCCUCUGGCCUCUUUCUGAUCUCUGUCAUAUGAAGGAGUGUACAGGUUCCUUAUAUAGAGAUGUGAGACCCCUCAGGGGCAAAGCAGGUAUUUGCCCACAUAACCCUAACUAGGGUUACUUAACACUCCCCCUUGGGCGAAUACCGCGACCAACACAUGCCUCGUUAAAACUCCGAAAAACCCAGUGGGAAAAAAGUGGAGAAAGAGUGCAUGGUGAUACAAAUUGCAUUUGCACUAUGUUGCCUCGUUAAAAACCUCAUGUGAGAAACUUCAAGAAAACUCACAAAAGGAAAAAGAGUACAACAGCUAUCAUCGGGACAGAUUUCGAUCCUCUGAGAUCUAGAUUCUAUCGAAUCUUCUACAAGGGCUAACUUUUAGAAAUGUGCUCCCCCUGAUCCUUGCAAAACCGUAUCAAUAAGGCAAAACAUCUUCUUCUAGAAGUAUAUGCACAUAAAGAUUUAGCAAACGGAUUGCAUAUCCUUGCAAGGAAUAUUUCAGGAACUUUACCUCUACUCACUUCUAGGAUAUACGAGGUAAAUGCACAUAUCAAUAUAAAUAAGCCACUUUGAUUGAUGGUGUUCGAUCGACUAGAUCUAUAUAUUUGAUAGAAAGUUCCAUAAAGGUUCACAUAUUGAUCAUCAAGCUCGCGCCUUCAGGGCAUAGAAUAUGACAUUUAUUGUCUCACGGUUGUGAUCAAUAUAAUCAUUCGCUCCCCCUGACGAUGACAUCUGUCAAAGUCUUUAUCCCUCAUAACUCAAGCAUAUUGUUCAAGAUAUAUGUCUCAUUGUUCAUCUGGAAUAACGAGAAUGAAUGAGGUUGGGGUGCUAUCAUUUUCUAUCUUACACCACAAUUUAUACAUAGUUGUGCAAAGCAAAUAACAUGUCCUUCAAUAGGACUUAGGGGAUAAUAUAGUUGCAAUAGUACAUAUUCUAAAUAUGACACAUCGCUCGAGGCGUUCAUCCAUUGCAACAUCUAUGAUGGUGUAACAAAAGUCCAUCUAAGAUCGUAAUCCAUUAGGGAUUUUUCAUCGAUCAGAUACAUCGUUAUAGUCUGUCGUUCUGGCACAAUGGGGAUAUUUUGCCAGUAACACCUAAACCUUAUAGGUUUCUGCCAUCAGGGCUUUAAAGGAUACCGUAAUUCCAUAUCUAGUGGAAAUUACCAUGAGUAAAACUCAUGGAAUGCACAUGUGCUUAUUCGGUGAACUUCAAGUCCUUUGGUACCUCAUCUUAUUCCUUUUCGGGUCUGUAUGGGUCUUUAUCCCUUUAUAGGGAUUAUCAAACUUUGGUGUUCAACACAGACUUUGUUUCUUCUGGAUAGGUUCCAUCUGGGAACGAUAGUCUCAACUAUAAGAUAUUCUCCCUACAUAGGAGAGUGAUCAUUCAUCAGGAAUGUAUUAUUCGGUAUGAGAUUUAUAUGUUGCAUAUUUAUAAUUCAAAUAUAUGAGUCCUCCUAGGAUCUCAUGACGGAUCUUCAGAAUCCUAUUAACUGCAUAUUUUAAUUCAUGCCAUUUGCCAGAUAUAUUACAUAGCGGAACAAUGUUUAUUCAACACAUAUGUGGGAUGGGUCUCUCACAAGACCACUUGAACCAUCGCAUUCACCACACAUUAUCUCAAUAGUGCCCAUAAAUGUCCGAACUUCAAGCUCGUGACUUUCAUUUUGCGAUUAUUGGUUCAACUUCGAUUGCAUUUAUCAAUGACCCGAUAAGAGAGCUUGAAGCACUCAUGCCUAGGACUUUGUUUUGGAUCCCUUUGCAAUCUAUAGAGGCAAGAUAGGUGUCGACACAUUUGUCUCCCAUAUUUAAUAAUGAUCUCCGUCAUUUCCCAAAACGAAAGAUUCAUUGUUCCGUAUUCCCAGCACAAUGAUAUUGUGCGCAUUGCUAGGAACUUCAUCAUCAAGAUGAACCUCUUCGUGAGGCAAAUCACCAGCAGGGCGAGUUCAUCGGAGGAGAGUUAUUACAGACCACGUGAAUCUGCAAUCAGAACAUAUGCUUUGACUAAGGCUGAUGGAUCAUAUUCGCAGGCGUCCCCGAGAAUAGAUCAAAUACCAAUAAGUCAAAUGUGGAUAUGAUAUUAAUCCCGGGUAUAUCCACAUCUACAUCAGGUAGAAGCAUUCAAACCAAUAUGGUUACUCCUCAACGAUUUCUGGCAAACUCCAUAUACAUAGGAGUACACUCCGAACGACGGGUUCAGUUUGGCUUUUGUGCGUUUAAUAGAAUAUUGAGGCAUUACACUAUAUGGGCAUUCCUCCCCCUAAUGCCGAGAUGUUCUAAAAGCAUAUAGAUGAAAUCCCCAACCACAAUCAUCUAGUUUGUGGCCAAUAUAUGCUAUUAUGGUGAUUUAUUUGGGAAAUCUUACGCACAUUACAGAUAAGGGUUUUAUGCAGUGAGCUUUGGACUUAGAUUGAUGUAGUGGCAUGAAUACUACAUAUUUGUCCUUCAACGUGAAGGACUAGUGUCAACUUCCAGCAUGACACGCAACAAACAAGUUGCUUCGUGGUUACAAUUCUGCAAACUUAUUUUUAUUAUUACCAAAUGUAUAGUCAAUCAUUAAGAUUUAGACUAACAUGCACAACGUUAUUUUAUCCAUAAGGAUCCUUCAGGGGCUCAUGAAUACCAUUCGUCGUUUGGAGCCAUUAGUUGACUUCAGAUCAACAAGUAAAAUGACCAUCAGGGUCUAGCGCUCAUAAGGACAUUCACUGGUUGCAUUGUGCUUUGAGGCACAUAGGAAAAAUGUGUGUGUUUAUAUUGGUAGUGAAGUGUACGGCAUCAGGCCAAUGCUGCCAAGCAAAGAUUUUUAUAUGCAGAGAUGUAUAGUCCAGCUCGUUUUUAUCACUGCCCAUGGUUUACCCAAUUACUCAUACUGCUCUGAAAUUGGGUAUCAAUUUAUGCAACAUUUUUAGGUAUAAUAAUUUUGAGAGAGAACUUAUAACAAUAGUUAAUUAUUUGUGGUGUUGCCAGCAGGCCAAACAUUUCUCCUCAUAUUAUAUACCAAAUUGUUCUAUAUAGCAUUAUUUCGAUCUCUUCAUUGUUCAGCAAAAAAGAGAAGCUUUGGAAUAGAACAGACAAGGCCAAGAAUUCAUUUUUAUCUAGGAAAAAUCACCAUAUAACUACAUUUUCAUGAAACAAAUGAUGAUAACUGCUUGGCAAGAACAAAACAAGACCGGUAUCCGCCUAGGAUCCGUCUUCAACAACAUAUAGUACUGCUCUCAUACGAAGAAAUCGUUAGGAGUAGAGAGGAUACAACAGGUCCCUACAAGAUCUUCAUAUUUCUAUCACAAAUUAUCAUCACUAGUAGUCUAGUGGUCAAGACAUAUGACUCUUCUGGCUCCGAGGACCAAGGACAUGUUAAUGUCUAAUUUAGCUUCAAGCUCUGUGGUGGUUAUUUGUCUACUCUUCUCACUUCUGGUAGAUCAGAAGUAGAUUAUGGUAAGCAUGCCAUGGGGUGAAAUCCAAUGUAGUUCUGCUACAUAAACCCCAUUUAUAUGUUCCUGCAGAUUUGACCUUUACCGUUUUGGUUACCAUAUAUACCAUACUCGUCAUAGGACUAUCCGCAACUAGGAGUAUUUACAAUUUUGAGAGAUGUAUGCAACACAAGCAUAAGGGUCCUAGAUAGGACGAGCAAAGUGGCUCUACUGGAACACACAAUGGUUUUCACACCAACAUAGUGCGAUUUUUCUCAAAAUAACCUCUUGGUAUACUCGCAACUUCGUGUUGCUAGCGGUUACAUGUCCUUUUAUCUCAUAGUUUGCUUCAUGUCAUCCAGCGACAAAGAGAUCAAUGUGCUAACAUCUAGUUGAGCAAUGUAUGACUGAGAUUUCUGAUCUUAAAUCAUUUGGUAAGGUCUUUUUGCUUACUAAUAUAGUCCCAAUUUGUGAAAUCUUCUAUGCCAAAAAAGCUUUCAUGCAUUAUAUUAUAUAUCUUCUGGUUACUUCGGGUAAAACAUUAUGCAUGAGGAGAGAGCAGAGAAUUAACUUAUUCAUGUUCUGUUGUAUUUCAAUUUAAUUUCCCAGAUUAUUCAAGCACUAUAGAGCUUGAUAUAGUUGUUAUGGCCACUUGGCAAUAUAAAUAAAUAUAUGGUGCCACACAACACAAGCAAAUAAAAUAUAGAGCUAAACAAAAUUGUUUACGAAGGUUGUGCAUAAUGUGACUUUAGAGCUUGAACGACCCACCACAAUCCAUGCGAGUACAAGCUCUAUCAUAUCUGGCGUCAACGCGUGUGUGGCCAUGUGGGCUACGACAACGCAACAAGCCUCCAUAACAAGCGCAACAGGCGCAGUUGUGACUCGGUAAUUGGGGUACGCGACAAGUCCACACAACGUGCGCAACAAACGCAAUUGUGGCUCGGUGAUAACGACAGACGAACAGUGCCUACAUGGCAUGCGAAAAAUACGUGACUCGGUGAUGCCGGUCCAACUCAGCAGGAGUGAUCCGGUUAGGCGAGAGUACAACAUAGCAAUCACAUGACGCAGCCAAGUUCUUACGACACAAAUAAUGCGUCGUGUUGCCUGGACGCAGCCAAUGCCAUAGCUCAGCCAAUUAAAAAUGUAGUCUGAUCGACGUGUCUAAGUACCCACUAUAUCAUUUAAUCGCUCGACGUGAGCCCAAAAGCUCAACGCAACACAAAUAUUUAGAGCGAUUUGAGUAUACACAAUAUAACCAUCACAUGCAUUUUAAUAAUUUUCUGCUAAUUAUUUACUACGGGAAAUAAUUAUUAAUGCAGAAAAAAUGAACACCAUAAUGAACAUAAUUAUUAAGGCAUUUUCUCAUAUUCAAUCAUACAUUUUCUAAUAAUUAUAUACUGCGGGAAAUAAUUAUUUAAGGUAGACAAGACUAUAUAAAACAUGCUUUAUUCUAUUUAUUAUUUGUAAUAGAAAUAAAUAGAAUAAAUAAUAUGAAGCAUGUAUACAAAUCAAAAUUCUACGGAAGUUUAUUAAUUCCACGAGAAUUUAUGAAAAGAAAAGUGUGUAUACAUAAAUAUGAAGCAGUCCAUCUGGGGUAUUAUAGUAUGACUAACCAGCAUCUCGAAAAGAAACACGUACGACUUGACCUCCCUUGCCUUGAGUGGGUUCCACCAGUGGGCCCCACCACUUGGCAUCCUGUGCGAUCUAUGCAAGACCAGUUUCUGCCCGGCUGCUGCGCGAGCACGCGAGAAGCGGUCAACCGAGGUUGCAAGACCAGUUCACCGUUCAUUGCAUGCACGAGAUCACACAUACGUGUGCAAGGACCAGGGUACGGUGGGGCUCUAGAGUUGCAUGCGCAUGCACCAUUAGAGAUGGCAACGGGUACAAACCCACCGGGUUUUGCUAUCCCAAACCCGUACCCGUGAAAAAUAUUUACACCCAUUAAAAAACCCGUACCCGUGACGGGUUUGAAAUUUUGCCCAAACCCGUACCCAUCGGGUUAGCGGGUACCCACGGGUUACCCGCGGGUUUUAUCUCCAAUAUACUUAUUCUUUCUAUAAUCAAUAAGUAUCGUAAUGAUUAAUGAGAUCAUGGUCUAAAAUUUAUGUAAUGAACAACGAGUUCAUGAUUUGGUAUAAAAAAUAUUAGUACAGAGAAUUAAAUACAAAUAAUAAGUUGUAUAAUCAAGUUACCUUGCACUAAGUUAUACAUCCACCACAUAUAUAACGCUAGUAAUAACUAUAAUAGCAAGCAAGCAACACUCUCACCAACUACUUAUACAUUCACUAUUUGAUAAAAAAUAGGAAGUAAAUAGGUAGAUAAUAAGUUUGUUGUUCGUUUAUAAAAUAAAAUGACAAUAUACACUAGGUUUGGUCGGGUUUAAAAAACCCACGGGUUCACGGGUUUGGGUACUAUAGGAACAAACCCGUACCCAUGAACCCGUCGGGUAUACAUUUAUGCCCAUUAAUAAACCCAUGGGUAUGAAAAUUGACCCAAACCCGUACCCUAAUGGGGUAAAAACCCAUCGGGUUUCGGGUACCCAUUGCCAUCUCUAUGCACCAUGCAAGCCAUGCAAGUUUGGUUUCUUUAUCACAUACAUGCAAGCUCACAACCGCUCCUUGCUUUUAGCUAUCCAUUUGACCGGGCUUUUUUUUUUGCAUGGCUGCAUCUACUCAAAGCGGUCCAAGCGGCGUAGCCCCUCAUGGCAUGCGUGAGCGCCCAGCGGUCAAAGGAAGUGACCCGUUCUUUUCUCCUGGAAAAACUAGAUCUGGCCACGUCUCCACACGCUAGGACGCGAGCCAACUCACCGCCCACCCCGACCAUGAGUGGCCCGACGCAGAUGCUUCGAGCACAGCGCGGGCGUGACCUCCAGCGGUGCGGGGAGUCCGAGUCGAUCUCUACUGGAGAUGGUGGAGCGACGACGAGAUCUCCAACGGUACAAGCAGGAGAGUGGGGAGCCGGGGGGACAUAGUGUUCGUCUAGGCGAGAUCCCCACGAACGAAUAGUAGAUAAAAAUCAUACCGUUCAAUUGUGUAGAGGGGAAUCGAAGCCUCUCGCGUAGGAGAGUUCGGCUAGGCCGGAGACCUGCCGGAUUGACGGUGAGUUGAUGCAGAUCUGAUCUCGUAGCAACGUCGAGGUAGAGCGUGCUGAUAAUGUGUUAAGAACUACGUUACCACGGAUCACCAGAUCCGCUCCCUUCCCUCCCGUCAGCAAUAGAGACGCAAGAAGCUGUAGAGAACCUGUCUCCCUUCCCAUAAACACGACAGAGGAAACACACGAGACACUGGAUAUAGGGUUGGGCCUCUGGUCUCUUUCUGAUCUCUGUCAUAUGAAGGGGUGUACAGGUUCCUUAUAUAGAGAUGUGAGACCCCUCAGGGGCAAAGCAGGUAUUUGCCCACAUAACCCUAACUAGGGUUACUUAACACCAACUUCUAAAAAUUACCAGAAGCCUUCUUUCUGCAUUGUACCAGAAACAGCUUCCUCUCGUUAAGAAGGAAAACAGAAGAGUCCAGGGCAAAAAGGAAAAACAAACAAAGCAACUCUACGGCGAAGAAAUCCUCUUCCUCCCUGUCGCGAUGCGCAACUCCCACACGCAACCUCCACCAUCCAUGAUUCGUCCCCAAUCCCAUCUCCGCUUGACUUUGUCUUACAUACAAAUUGCUGCUAGACAGAGUACUAUGGAUGGAAUUGGAUCAGCUGCUGGCCGAUGGAUUAGUAGACAAGGCCCGGGCGGCGGCCGGGGCUCGGCGGCGACAGAGGAGACGGAGUCUUCUUCGGCGGGGGCUCGAUGGGGCCCACGUGGGAGCGGAAUCCCGCGGAGACCACCGCGUCGCGCACGCACCAGUGGAACGCCGGCUGCCGCAUGGCC
rnacentral:lncRNA from 1 species